rnacentral:rRNA from 1 species
UACGAAGGGGGAGCUAGCGUUGUUCGGAAUUACUGGGCGUAAAGCGCACGUAGGCGGUCUGUUAUGUCGGAUGUGAAAGCCCUUGGCUCAACUGAGGAAGUGCAUCCGAAACUGGCAAGCUAGAGUACUAAAGAGGGUCGCGGAAUUCCCGGUGUAGAGGUGAAAUUCGUAGAUAUCGGGAGGAACACCGGUGGCGAAGGCGGCGACCUGGGUAGAUACUGACGCUGAGGUGCGAAAGCGUGGGGAGCAACA